ensembl:lncRNA LOC108353164 uncharacterized LOC108353164
GGAGCUGGGGACUGAACCCAGGGCCUUGUGCUUGCUAGGCAAGCGCUCUACCACUGAGCUAAAUCCCCAACCCUCAGUGUUGCUUUUUAAUAUGUGUUGUGAAGCCACAUUCAGAAUAGUUUUCAUGCCAAGAGUAUACCCUGUGAGUAAUGGAAAUGUGUGUUGCUGUGUAUACACUUUAUCUUUGUGCACAGCUUCCGGAAGUGUGACCAGACCGGGCGGUGGGAUGGAAGACCCAUUACAGAGCUUCACAUGCUGUUCCAGGCCUGUUCUAACAGGAUACCAUUGCUUUAAUGAGUUCUUAAAAGCUGCAGGAGUGGCUCCUCAUCCCUUCAUCUCUGGCAUGAUCAAAGGUGUGCACAGAAAAACAAAUGCUUCCCACAUCUUUCAUGUUCAUAUU